rnacentral:ribozyme from 11 species
GAAAAAAAAAUGGGAGAAAGAGACAUCAUGAUCAUGUUUGUUUUCUCUUGUUCAAAUUCUUUUGCUUUUG